CACGUAGGGAGCAAGCGUUGUCCGGAUUUAUUGGGCGUAAAGAGCUCGUAGGUGGUUCGGUAAGUCGGGUGUGAAAACUCUGGGCUCAACUCAGAGACGCCACCCGAUACUGCUGUGACUCGAGUCUGGUAGGGGUGUGUGGAAUUCCCAGUGUAGCGGUGAAAUGCGCAGAUAUUGGGAGGAACACCAAUUGCGAAGGCAGCUCGCUGGGACGUUACUGACGCUGAGACGCGAAAGCGUGGGGAGCAAACAGG
rnacentral:rRNA from 1 species